AUUUAUUAGAUAAAGAACCAAUAUUUUUGGUGACUCAUAAUAACUUUACGGAUCACAUUAUGUGACAUAUCAUUCAAGUUUCUGACCUAUCAGCUUUAGACGGUAGGGUAUUGGCCUACCGUGGCUAUGACGGGUAACGGGGAAUUAGGGUUCGAUUCCGGAGAGGGAGCCUGAGAAACGGCUACCACAUCUAAGGAAGGCAGCAGGCGCGCAAAUUACCCAAUCCUAAUACAGGGAGGUAGUGACAAGAAAUAACAAUACAGAACCUUACGGUUUUGUAAUUGGAAUGAGUUAAGUAUAAACCCCUUAACAAGUAUCAAUUGGAGGGCAAGUCUGGUGCCAGCAGCCGCGGUAAUUCCAGCUCCAAUAGCGUAUAUUAAAGUUGUUGCAGUUAAAAAGCUCGUAGUUAAUCUUCUGUUAAUUUUUAUAUAUAAUAUUUCGAUAUUUAUAUAAUAUUAACAUAAUUCAUAUUACUUUUUAGUAUAUGAAACUUUACUUUGAGAAAAUUAGAGUGCUUAAAGCAGGCUAUUGCCUUGAAUACUCCAGCAUGGAAUAAUAUUAAGGAUUUUUAUUCUUCUUAUUGGUUCUAGAAUAAAAAUGAUGAUUAAUAGGAACAGUUGGGGGCAUUUGUAUUUAACAGUCAGAGGUGAAAUUCUUAGAUUUGUUAAAGACAAACUACUGCGAAAGCAUUUGCCAAGGAUGUUUUCAUUAAUCAAGAACGAAAGUUAGGGGAUCGAAGACGAUCAGAUACCGUCG
rnacentral:rRNA from 1 species